rnacentral:rRNA from 1 species
GACGAACGCUGGCGGCGUGCUUAACACAUGCAAGUCGAACGGAAAGGCCCUGCUUUUGUGGGGUGCUCGAGUGGCGAACGGGUGUGUAACACGUGAGUAACCUGCCCUUGACUUUGGGAUAACUUCAGGAAACUGGGGCUAAUACCGGAUAGGAGCUCCUGCUGCAUGGUGGGGGUUGGAAAGUUUCGGCGGUUGGGGAUGGACUCGCGGCUUAUCAGCUUGUUGGUGGGGUAGUGGCUUACCAAGGCUUUGACGGGUAGCCGGCCUGAGAGGGUGACCGGCCACAUUGGGACUGAGAUACGGCCCAGACUCCUACGGGAGGCAGCAGUGGGGAAUAUUGCACAAUGGGCGGAAGCCUGAUGCAGCAACGCCGCGUGCGGGAUGACGGCCUUCGGGUUGUAAACCGCUUUCGCCUGCGACGAAGCGUGAGUGACGGUAAUGGGUAAAGAAGCACCGGCUAACUACGUG